GAUGAACGCUAGCGGCAGGCUUAACACAUGCAAGUCGAGGGGUAGAAGGAGCUUGCUCCUUUGAGACCGGCGCACGGGUGCGUAACGCGUAUGCAAUCUACCUUUUGCAGAGGGAUAGCCCAGAGAAAUUUGGAUUAAUACCUCAUAGUAUAGUACUUUGGCAUCAAGGAACUAUUAAAGUCACAACGGCAAAAGAUGAGCAUGCGUCCCAUUAGCUAGUUGGUAAGGUAACGGCUUACCAAGGCUACGAUGGGUAGGGGUCCUGAGAGGGAGAUCCCCCACACUGGUACUGAGACACGGACCAGACUCCUACGGGAGGCAGCAGUGAGGAAUAUUGGACAAUAGGGCGCAAGCCUGAUCCAGCCAUGCCGCGUGCAGGAUGACGGUCCUAUGGAUUGUAAACUGCUUUUGUACAGGAAGAAACACUACUUCGUGAA
rnacentral:rRNA from 1 species